UGAGCUCGCCUGCAUAAUGAGGGGGUGGGGCUUAAGCCUCGUCCCCUCCCGCCUGGUUGUUGGCCUCCCUGCUCGCGCGCUCCUUGCUGGCGAUAACUAGGGACCGAGAGCAAGCGCACCCACGCUUUUCCUGAGCAUCCCUGGAAGAGCAGCAGUGCUCCACAACCACCCAAACACCCCCGCGGGGACACAGGUUGUGCUGCUUCAGAAGAGGGACCGUCUUUGUGCUUGCAAUUAAUUGUAUUCCCGGCUAAUAGGACAGGGCCAGGCAGUAGUAAGCGCUUAAUAAAUACUUGCUGACUGGCUGGUCUUGAGGUUCUUUCCAGCUCAGACAUCUGGUUUCAUAGGAAAAAUCUCCGUUCCAGAUUAUAAAUUAACAUGAAAAUGCAUAAAGUCUGGUCAUGCAAAACAAGUUCUCACAUUAUUCUCCAGGGAUAGAGGGAAGAGAUGACAAAAACUACUAUAGAGCACCUACCAGGUGACCGGCCGACACUGCAGUUAUUUCUUUUAAGCCUCCUGACAACCCUGGGAGAUAGAGUCUCCUAAACACCAAGUUAGCUCUGGCAAUUUUCAUCUCAUUAUUAAUGUGGACAUCUCUGUAAAGUAUACUGCCAAGAAUUGCCUUCGGCCCCCAAAGCAGAGGUCAAAGGGCUGCUCUCCUGCCCUCCGAAGUUUGUGACCACUCUCGAUGGCUGCAAAUGCUUCUUCAGCAUAUCGACUGAGAACCGAUGUUUCAACUCUGACCGAGUCAUGCAGCCUGGAAUUUUCCCAAUGAAGACCACUCUCCUUUCCUCCUGGAUUCAGGUAGAUGGACACAAGGAAAAACAAAAAGAUCCAAGACUUCACUAUUCUGGUUUCCCUGCUCCAAACACUGACUCCAGCCUAUACUCAUACUCACCUCCGUCUCCUAUUACUCCUCCUACGAGGGGACGGAGAACGAGAUCGGCUCUGAGAACUGGAUGAGGAUGAAGAAGAAGAUGUAGAAGACGACGACGAGGAAGAUCGCCGCCGAGAGUGUCCCCAGGAAUCACAGCUGGACCUAGAAGAGGAUCGGGUACUACGGGAACAACGGGACCUGUAGCUGGGAGAAUAAGAUGGCUUUGUAUCCCCAGCCAUUCACUUCUUGCCUGUCCUCAAGACAUCCCCCCAACCCACCAUUUUCCAAGGUGAAUAGGCAAAAAACUAGAUUAAACAUCAGAGACUGGAUGUUCUAUUCCACACUCUUGUUUCUACUUUGCCCCAGUUAAUCAUUCAUUCAUAAAGUAUCCAUUAUACCAGAGAGGAAUUAAAAGAGAUGU